CCUACGGGGUGCUGCAGUGAGGAAUAUUGGUCAAUGGGCUUACGCCUGAACCAGCCAAGUCGCGUGAGGGAAGACUGCCCUAUGGGUUGUAAACCUCUUUUGUCAGGGAGCAACGCCGGCUACGUGUAGCCGGACUGAGAGUACCUGAAGAAAAAGCAUCGGCUAACUCCGUGCCAGCAGCCGCGGUAAUACGGAGGAUGCGAGCGUUAUCCGGAUUUAUUGGGUUUAAAGGGUGCGUAGGCGGAAUGCCAAGUCAGCGGUAAAAUCGCGGGGCUCAACCUCGCUCCGCCGUUGAAACUGGGGAUCUAGAGUGUGCGAGAGGUAUGCGGAAUGCGUGGUGUAGCGGUGAAAUGCAUAGAUAUCACGCAGAACCCCGAUUGCGAAGGCAGCAUACCGGUGCACAACUGACGCUCAGGCACGAAAGCGUGGGUAUCGAACAGGAUUAGAUACCCGAGUAGUC
rnacentral:rRNA from 1 species